UAGAUGUUGAGAGUCAGUUUUAUUGCCAUCUCUGGGAGGGGCUCAAAUCCGCCCAAUCUCCUUCAGCUUGGCCACCAGGUCCACCUUCUCCUUCUCUGCCAGCUUGGCCAGGACCCGAGCCACCUGCAGGGGACCCAAGCGUUCUGCUUCUGCUGGGGGCACCUCCACGUGGAUACCUCGGUCUGCACCCAUGGCCAGGGCGGUACGAAUCGUCUCCUG
ensembl:lncRNA novel transcript, antisense to ETFB